GUUUUCCUACCGUGAAGCAUUGGAACGUCAGGCUGACAACCUGAAGGUCAUAGGUUCAAAUCCUAU
rfam:Nitrobacter hamburgensis X14, complete genome.